GCAUGUAUCGAUCACGUGCCAACGUGCCGGAUGCUCUAUGAGCGGGUUUUCCCUCACGAGCCGACGGCCAGUUGGUGGUGAUAGAUCUUUGCAAUGGGAUUGACGCAUGAGUGGCGAUUAGGACGUGCUUUCAUGCGGGCUCUGCGUAUCGUGCGCCGAACCGCGUGGAGCCGUCCGUUCCAGUAAAUCCAUCGCUUCGGCUUGUGCUUGCUCGUUGCGAAAUGAUGGGGUGGUUUCUGUGUUGGCUACCGAUUCUGGUACGCGGGAUUCGACGGAAUCCAUUGUGCUCUGUCCUUUCCACCACCCGGAUUGUCCGGGGAAGGUGGACGUUGGAUCGGUCUCCCGUGCUCCACGCAUCUCGUCCCUCCGUGGGUGGGAUUUGCGACGGCUCGUGGGUGGCUGUCUACGCUCUCGGGUAUGCGAAAUAAUUCGGUUGUCGUCCAGGUCCUCGACCUGUACGUAUCAUUUCUUGAGCAUUGAGCUCUGUCUUGUACAUGACCCUCGUGCAUGUUCCUGAGCUCAUCGAGCCUUGGUGCUUGCUGUUCGUCACGGAGAUGCCGAGGUCUACGAGGAGUGC
rnacentral:misc_RNA from 1 species